rnacentral:rRNA from 1 species
AUACGGAGGAUGCAAGCGUUAUCCGGAUUCAUUGGGUUUAAAGGGUGCGCAGGCGGCCGUGCAAGUCAGCGGUGAAAGCCCGGGGCUCAACCCCGGAAGUGCCGUUGAUACUGCGUGGCUGGAAUGCGGUCGAGGCGGGCGGGACGGGGCGGGUAGCGGGGGAAUGCGUAGAUAUGCCACAGAACGCCGAUAGCGGAGGCAGCUCGCCGGGCCUGCAGUGACGCUCGGGCGCGAAGGCGUGGGGAUCGAACAGGAUUAGAUCCCCUGGUAGUCCACGCCGUAAACGAUGGGCGCUCGUCGUCGGCGACAGACAGUCGGCGGCCAAGCGAAAGCGAUAAGCGCCCCACCUGGGGAGUACGGUCGCAAGGCUGAAACUCAAAUGAAUUGACGGGG